AGUGAACGCUGGCGGUAGGCCUAACACAUGCAAGUCGAACGGCAGCACAGUAAGAGCUUGCUCUUACGGGUGGCGAGUGGCGGACGGGUGAGGAAUACAUCGGAAUCUACUUUUUCGUGGGGGAUAACGUAGGGAAACUUACGCUAAUACCGCAUACGACCUACGGGUGAAAGCAGGGGAUCUUCGGACCUUGCGCGAUUGAAUGAGCCGAUGUCGGAUUAGCUAGUUGGCGGGGUAAAGGCCCACCAAGGCGACGAUCCGUAGCUGGUCUGAGAGGAUGAUCAGCCACACUGGAACUGAGACACGGUCCAGACUCCUACGGGAGGGCGCAGUGGGGAAUAUUGGACAAUGGGCGCAAGCCUGAUCCAGCCAUACCGCGUGGGUUAAGAAGGCCUUCGGGUUGUAAAGCCCUUUUGUUGGGAAAGAAAAGCAGCAGGUUAAUACCCCGCUGUUCUGACGGUACCCAAAGAAUAAGCACCGGCUAACUUCGUG
rnacentral:rRNA from 1 species